UGGGGAAUUUUGGACAAUGGGCGAAAGCCUGAUCCAGCAAUGCCGCGUGUGUGAAGAAGGCCUUCGGGUUGUAAAGCACUUUUGUCCGGAAAGAAAUCCUUGGCUCUAAUACAGUCGGGGGAUGACGGUACCGGAAGAAUAAGCACCGGCUAACUACGUGCCAGCAGCCGCGGUAAUACGUAGGGUGCAAGCGUUAAUCGGAAUUACUGGGCGUAAAGCGUGCGCAGGCGGUUUGCUAAGACCGAUGUGAAAUCCCCGGGCUCAACCUGGGAACUGCAUUGGGUGACUGGCAGGCUAGAGUAUGGCAGAGGGGGGUAGAAUUCCACGUGUAGCAGUGAAAUGCGUAGAGAUGUGGAGGAAUACCGAUGGCGAAGGCAGCCCCCUGGGCCAAUACUGACGCUCAUGCACGAAAGCGUGGGGAGCAAACAGGAUUAGAUACCCUGGUAGUCCACGCCCUAAACGAUGUCAACUAGUUGUUGGGGGACUUCAUUUUCCUUAGUAACGUAGCUAACGCGUGAAGUUGACCGCCUGGGGAGUACGGUCGC
rnacentral:rRNA from 1 species